rnacentral:rRNA from 1 species
GACGAACGCUGCGGCGUGCCUAAUACAUGCAAGUCGAACGAGAGCGACCGGUGCUUGCACUGGUCAAUCUAGUGGCGAACGGGUGAGUAACACGUGGGUAACCUGCCCAUCAGAGGGGGAUAACAUUCGGAAACGGAUGCUAAAACCGCAUAGGUCCUUUAACCGCAUGGUUGAAGGAGGAAAAGAGGCGCAAGCUUCUGCUGAUGGAUGGACCCGCGGUGCAUUAGCUAGUUGGUGAGGUAACGGCUCACCAAGGCCGUGAUGCAUAGCCGACCUGAGAGGGUGAUCGGCCACAUUGGGACUGAGACACGGCCCAAACUCCUACGGGAGGCAGCAGUAGGGAAUCUUCCGCAAUGGACGCAAGUCUGACGGAGCAACGCCGCGUGAGUGAAGAAGGUUUUCGGAUCGUAAAACUCUGUUGUUAGAGAAGAACAAGUGCUAGAGUAACUGUUAGCGCCUUGACGGUAUCUAACCAGAAAGCC